GUGAAAAUAAGAAAUUAUCGAAUAAACUCGUUUAGACGAGAACUGCUAGAGGCAGUAA
rnacentral:sRNA from 12 species